CUGAUGAUCUGGCUCGAUCACGCUGGCGGCGCGCCUAACACAUGCAAGUCGCACGAGAAAGCGGGAGCAAUCUCGCAAGUACAGUGGCGUACGGGUGAGUAACACGUGGAUCAUCUACCCUGGAGUGGGGAAUAACGCUGGGAAACCGGCGCUAAUACCGCAUAUUCCCGAGAGGGGAAAGCAGCAAUGCGCUCGAGGAGGAGUCCGCGGCCGAUUAGCUAGUUGGUAGGGUAAAAGCCUACCAAGGCUGUGAUCGGUAGCCGGCCUGAGAGGGCACACGGCCACACUGGCACUGAAACACGGGCCAGACUCCUACGGGAGGCAGCAGUGGGGAAUCUUGCACAAUGGGGGAAACCCUGAUGCAGCGACGCCGCGUGAGCGAUGAAGCCCUUCGGGGUGUAAAGCUCUUUCGGCAGGGAAGAUUAUGACGGUACCUGCAGAAGCAGCUGCGGCUAACUACGUGCCAGCAGCCGCGGUAAUACGUAGGCAGCAAGCGUUGUUCGGAGUUACUGGGCGUAAAGGGUGUGUAGGCGGCCUGUUAAGUUCCGUGUGAAAUCUCCCGGCUCAACCGGGAGGGUGCGCGGAAAACUGGCGGGCUAGAGUGCGGGAUGUGAGAGUAGAAUUCCUGGUGUAGCGGUGAAAUGCGUAGAUAUCAGGAGGAAUACCGGUGGUGUAGACGGCUCUCUGGACCGCAACUGACGCUGAAACACGAAAGCGUGGGUAGCAAACAGGAUUAGAUACCCUGGUAGUCCACGCCCUAAACGAUGCAUAUUUGGUGUAGGUCAUUCAGUUGAUCUGUGCCGGAGCUAACGCGUUAAUAUGCCGCCUGGGGAGUACAGUCGCAAGGCUGAAACUCAAAGGAAUUGACGGGGCCCGCACAAGCGGUGGAGC
rnacentral:rRNA from 1 species